rnacentral:rRNA from 1 species
UACGGAAGGUCCGGGCGUUAUCCGGAUUUAUUGGGUUUAAAGGGAGCGCAGGCCGAUGCUUAAGCGUGACGUGAAAUGUAGCCGCUCAACGGCUGAACUGCGUCGCGAACUGGGUAUCUUGAGUGAGUACGACGUGGACGGAAUUCGUGGUGUAGCGGUGAAAUGCUUAGAUAUCACGAAGAACCCCGAUUGCGAAGGCAGUCCACGAGUCCUUUACUGACGCUAAAGCUCGAAGGUGCGGGUAUCGAAC